CGUUGGGGGUAUGGCCCACAGGCGACGACGGGUAGCCGGCCUGAGAGGGCGACCGGCCACACUGGGACUGAGACACGGCCCAGACUCCUACGGGAGGCAGCAGUGGGGAAUAUUGCACAAUGGGCGAAAGCCUGAUGCAGCGACGCCGCGUGAGGGAUGACGGCCUUCGGGUUGUAAACCUCUUUCAGCAGGGACGAAGCGAAAGUGACGGUACCUGCAGAAGAAGCACCGGCCAACUACGUGCCACCAGCCGCGGCCG
rnacentral:rRNA from 1 species